AAGAAACGUGUCUCCUAUUAUUUCAGGGCUAGUAUUCCUAUCAGCUAUGCGAGUUGGUCAGGUGUGGAUGUCUCAUUUAAAGACAAAUUGUGGGAGGCCUUGAUGGUAAUAAUUUUAUUGUAAUUUUAGUGAAGUUUCACUUACCUGUAUAUUGAGUUUAUUAUUAAACUUAAUUUUUUUUUUCUAAUUAUCUUUCUCUUUUGUAAUUCAGAAGGAAUUCUACUUCAGUGUUCCUGACUACAAAGCUCGUCCAUAUGUCGAGAAAGGGUUUGCCCAAAAAUUAAGGACAAGGAAAGUAAAAUAUCGUCCACUACUAAAAGCAACUUUGGAAGAGUCUAUUGCUGG
rnacentral:lncRNA from 1 species